rnacentral:rRNA from 1 species
AUGAAUGACAAACUUCUUCCGAUCAUGUGCUGGAAUGUGCGCGGGCUGAACCACCCCGCGAAGCGUGCGUCUGUCUGCGAAGUCGCCAUAGCAAAUCGAGUAGCGAUCCUGUGUUUGCAAGAAACAAAAAUCGAAGCCUGGUCUCCUAGUCUAGGCCGGGAAAUUGGCGGCUCCUCGCUGACUGACUGCAUCGCCCUCCCGGCGAUCAGCACCAGUGGCAGAGCAGCAAUUCUUUGGAACAAAGACCUCGCCACCGUCACCUCCCACGCCAUUGGCGCCUUCGCCAUCAUGGCAAGGGUUUCCCUGCUAGGCCAGCCCCAUAGUUUCUGUCUCUCCUCCGCCUACGGACCUGCUGACGACGCAAGGAAAGAUAGCUUCAUCCUCGAGCUCGCCCGCACAGCCCCGCCCACAAACAAGCCCUGGCUGAUCAAUGGAGAUUUUAACCUCAUCUACGAGGCACGUGACAAAAACAAUCUCAACCUUAACCGUAGGCUUAUGGGUAGGUUCAGAUCGGCCAUUGAUGAUGCUGGCCUGAAGGAGAUCAAGUGCAAGAAUCGCCGCUACACUUGGAGCAACGAACGCCAAGACCCCACCCUUGUCAGCAUUGACAAGUUCUUCUGCAACCAAGCCUGGGAGUCCAUAUUCCCUAGUUUCGCGGUGAUGGCGGCUUCUACGGCCACGUCAGACCACUGCCCAUUGAUCCUCGCCGACACAAGUUGA